GACGUAGGGGGCGAGCGUUGUCCGGAUUUAUUGGGCGUAAAGAGCUCGUAGGCGGUUCAGAAAGUCGGGUGUGAAACCUCCAGGCUCAACCUGGAGACGCCACCUGAUACUGCUGUGGCUAGAGUCCGGUAGGGGAGCACGGAAUUCCCGGUGUAGCGGUGAAAUGCUUAGAUAUCGGGAGGACCACCAGUGGCGAAGGCGGUGCUCUGGGCCGGAACUGACGCUGAGGAGCGAAAGCGUGGGUAGCAAACAGG
rnacentral:rRNA from 1 species